rnacentral:sRNA from 1 species
AGGAACCAUAUGAGGUGAAAAUCUCAUGUAUGGUUCUGUAAUAGCGAUGACGGAUGUGGUAAAUCACAGGUCUUAGUGCAAC